GAUGAACGCUGGCGGCGUGCCUAAUACAUGCAAGUCGAGCGAACAGACGAGGAGCUUGCUCCUCUGACGUUAGCGGCGGACGGGUGAGUAACACGUGGAUAACCUACCUAUAAGACUGGGAUAACUUCGGGAAACCGGAGCUAAUACCGGACAAUAUAUUGAACCGCAUGGUUCAAUAGUGAAAGACGGCUUUGCUGGCAGAUAUAGAUGGAUCCGCGCCGCAUUAGCUAGUUGGUAAGGUAACGGCUUACCAAGGCAACGAUGCGUAGCCGACGUGAGAGGGUGAUAGCCCACCCUGGAGCGGAGACGCGCUCCAUGCUCCUGCGGGAGGCACCAGUAGGGAAUGUUCCGCAAUGGGCGAAAGCAUGACGGAGCAACGCCGCGUGAGUGAUGAAGGUCUUCGGAUCGUAAAACUCUGUUAUUAGUGAAGAACAAAUGUUUAAGUAACUAUGCACGUAUUGACGGUACCUAAUCAGAAAGCCACGGCUAACUACGUG
rnacentral:rRNA from 1 species